UUUCGGACAACGACUUUAGUGACUUCAGCCAACUUCUUAAAGUCGUAUGUGUGUUCUGAUGUGACAUACAUAUUCAGGGCCAGGGAAGCCAAAUUACAAACAGCAACCUCAUCUUUGCUGGUGUACUCCACUAUUUCUGUGCACAGGUUGCUGCAUUUGAUGGUUCCCAGGUUCUGCUGGUUGCUCUUUCGAUUACAGGAAUCUUUGUAGAGCAUAUACGGGGUGCCUGUUUCCGUCUGAGACUCAAUGAUGGCAUACCAAAGCUGCUGAGCUUUUACAACUUUGCGGACACGACCUUGUUUCUCAUAACUUGCAUAUAGUUUCUCAAAUUCCUCUCCCCAAACCUCAUCCAGAC
rnacentral:lncRNA from 1 species